rnacentral:rRNA from 1 species
CAAAGAUUUAUCGCUGAAAGAUGGGCUCGCGCCCGAUUAGGUAGUUGGUGAGAUAAUAGCCCACCAAGCCGACGAUCGGUAGCCGGACUGAGAGGUUGAACGGCCACAUUGGGACUGAGACACGGCCCAGACUCCUACGGGAGGCAGCAGUGGGGGAUAUUGCACAAUGGGGGGAACCCUGAUGCAGCGACGCCGCGUGAGGGAAGACGGUUUUCGGAUUGUAAACCUCUGUCUUUAGGGACGAAACAAAUGACGGUACCUAAAGAGGAAGCCACGGCUAACUACGUGCCAGCAGCCGCGGUAAUACGUAGGUGGCAAGCGUUGUCCGGAAUUACUGGGUGUAAAGGGAGCGUAGGCGGGAAUGCAAGUUGAAUGUUUAAACUAUGGGCUCAACCCAUAGUCGCGUUCAAAACUGCAUUUCUUGAGUGGAGUAGAGGCAGGCGGAAUUCCUAGUGUAGCGGUGAAAUGCGUAGAUAUUAGGAGGAACACCAGUGGCGAAGGCGGCCUGCUGGGCUCUAACUGACGCUGAGGCUCGAAAGCGUGGGUAGCAAACAGGAUUAGAUACCCUGGUAGUCCACGCCGUAAACGAUGAUUACUAGGUGUGGGGGGACUGACCCCUUCC